AUUGAACGCUGGCGGCAUGCCUUACACAUGCAAGUCGAACGGUAACGCGGGGCAACCUGGCGACGAGUGGCGAACGGGUGAGUAAUGUAUCGGAACGUGCCCAGUUGUGGGGGAUAACUGCUCGAAAGAGCAGCUAAUACCGCAUACGACCUGAGGGUGAAAGCGGGGGAUCGCAAGACCUCGCGCAAUUGGAGCGGCCGAUAAAAGAUUAGGUAGUUGGUGGGGGAAAGGCCCACCGAGCCAACGAUCUGUAGCUGGUCUGAGAGGACGACCAGCCACACUGGGACUGAGACACGGCCCAGACUCCUACGGGAGGCAGCAUUGGGGAAUUUUGGACAAUGGACGCAAGUCUGAUCCAGCCAUGCCGCGUGCGGGAAGAAGGCCUUCGGGUUGUAAACCGCUUUUGUCAGGGAAGAAAAGGGCGACUCUAAUACAGUUGCCUCAUGACGGUACCUGAAGAAUAAGCACCGGCUAACUACGUGCCAGCCGCCGCAGUAAUAC
rnacentral:rRNA from 1 species